rnacentral:ncRNA from 1 species
GUGUUGUAUGAAAGGAGAGAAGAUCAGCACUCCCCUUGAAAAGGAUGGAAGAGGCCCUUAUGGCCUAUACAAAAUUCAUACAGUUAAGGCACUGCCAUCUACUUGGUGGCAUCUAACCAUGUUUAA